GGGCUUGGCAAAUCGAUCCGCAAAACCCAUAUAGACUUUGUCAUAAGGGGCUUGCCCCGGAGACUAUGGUGAUAAAGUGCAGCGUAAAAUAGACGCAACGGACCCGGGGGCAGUACCCGGCGGCUCCACCACAACCCGCCCGAAAGGACGGGCUAUGACGGGGCCGAAGCAGGAUCGACGUGUGUUCAAAGGCGCUGUUUUUGCCACGGCUGAGUAACCGUUUAUAGGCUCAAAACCACAAGUGCUAACGACAACGAUGCACUCGCGAUUGCGGCGUAAACCGGACCUAACGGUCUAGUUUACUAACGACAAAAGCGCGGUUGGACCGCACCGGGCAACAGAAGCGGAUUCCG
rnacentral:tmRNA from 1 species